rnacentral:rRNA from 1 species
UACGUAGGGUGCAAGCGUUUGUCCGGAAUUAUUGGGCGUAAAGAGCUCGUAGGCGGUUUGUCGCGUCUGCUGUGAAAACUCAGGGCUUAACCCUGAGCCUGCAGUGGGUACGGGCAGACUAGAGUGUGGUAGGGGAGAUCGGAAUUCCUGGUGUAGCGGUGGAAUGCGCAGAUAUCAGGAGGAACACCGGUGGCGAAGGCGGAUCUCUGGGCCAUAACUGACGCUGAGGAGCGAAAGCAUGGGGAGCGAACAGG